rnacentral:rRNA from 1 species
UACGAAGGGGGCUAGCGUUGCUCGGAAUCACUGGGCGUAAAGGGCGCGUAGGCGGCGUUUUAAGUCGGGGGUGAAAGCCUGUGGCUCAACCACAGAAUGGCCUUCGAUACUGGGACGCUUGAGUAUGGUAGAGGUUGGUGGAACUGCGAGUGUAGAGGUGAAAUUCGUAGAUAUUCGCAAGAACACCAGUGGCGAAGGCGGCUCACUGGUCCGGUACUGACGCUGAGGUGCGAAAGCGUGGGGAGCAAACAGG